rnacentral:rRNA from 1 species
GAUGAACGCUGGCGGCGUGCCUAAUACAUGCAAGUCGAGCGAACAGAUGAGGAGCUUGCUCCUCUGACGUUAGCGGCGGACGGGUGAGUAACACGUGGAUAACCUACCUAUAAGACUGGGAUAACUUCGGGAAACCGGAGCUAAUACCGGAUAAUAUAUUGAACCGCAUGGUUCAAUAGUGAAAGACGGUUUUGCUGUCACUUAUAGAUGGAUCCGCGCCGCAUUAGCUAGUUGGUAAGGUAACGGCUUACCAAGGCAACGAUGCGUAGCCGACCUGAGAGGGUGAUCGGCCACACGGGCACUGAGACACGGUCCAGACUCCUACGGGAGGCAGCAGUAGGGAAUCUUCCGCAAGGGGCGAAAGCGUGACGGAGCAACGCCGCGUGAGUGAUGAAGGUCUUCGGAUCGUAAAACUCUGUUAUUAGGGAAGAACAAAUGUGUAAGUAACUAUGCACGUCUUGACGGUACCUAAUCAGAAAGCCACGGCUAACUACGUG